AUAGCUUCUCUGCCUUUUGGCUAAGAUAAAGUGUAGCAUCAGUUCUUAUCAGUGUUCAGUCUUAAAACCACUGAGGCAGAAUGGAUAUAUACACGGUGUAGAACAGGUUUCAGGGUUGGUCCAAAGCUACUUGUGUUCCCAGGUUGACCAAAUGUGUGGCCCUAAAGUGACUUGACCCUAAGGUCCUCGUAUGGUAA